rnacentral:ncRNA from 1 species
AAAAAGUUUAACUCUGGCUUAAGUUAUAAUUAUGGUAAGAUUUUCAUGAGAAUUUAAGUUUUAUAAUAAAAAUAAAUUUAUUUUUUUGAUAAAUAUUUUGCAUUAUUAAUAAUAGAAAUAUUUUUGUGGGUUAUCUAUUAAUAAGUAAAGAGGGUGCCAGCUACUGCGGUUAGACUCUAUAUGAUUAUAAAAUAUAAGAUUAUAUUUAUUUUGUUGUGAUAAAUUUUAUUUAGGUGAAAUUUUUAUUUUUUUAAAAGUCAAUAAGAAAUAAAUAAGUUUGUUAAAACUAGGAUUAGAUACCCUACUAUUGUUCUUUUGCUUGAAUUAUUAAAUAUAAAAUUAAUUAGUUUGGCGGCUAAAUAAUUUAGAGGAAUUUGCUUUUUAAACGAUAAACCCCGUUUGGUUUUUCUCUUAUUUUGUUUAUAUAUCAUUAUUUUAUUUUUUUUGGAAGAAAGUAAAUAUGAAUUUUUUAAAAAAUUUAGAUCUAGAUGUAGCUAUGUGGGAGUUAAAGUUAAUUACAAUAAGUUUUAUUAUAUUAAAUAUAAGAUAAUAUUUAUAUUUUAAGUGGAUUUAAAUGUAAUUUUGUUUAUCAAAAUGAGUAAUUUUUUAGUGUACAAAUUGCCCGUCAUUCUCUAUGAGACAAGUCGAAACAAAGUAAGUGUACUUGAAGGUGCCCUUAGAAACAA